rnacentral:rRNA from 1 species
CCCUUAGAUGUUCUGGGCCGCACGCGUGCUACACUGAGUGGAUCAGCGGGUCAGGUUGCGCGAAAGCGUUUCCUAAUCUUUAAAUCCGCUCGUGAUGGGGAUUGACGGUUGCAAUUUUCUGUCAUGAACGAGGAAUACCUUGUAAGCGCGGGUCAUCAUCCCGCGCUGAAUACGUCCCUGCCCUUUGUACACACCGCCCGUCGCUCCUACCGAUUGAGUGGUCCGGUGAGGCUUUGGGAUCUGAGCGGAAAGAGCGUUUCGCUGUUUCUGCUCGGAAAACUCAGUCGAACCUUAUCAUUUAGAGGAAGGAGACGUCGUAACA